CAAGAAAAACUCUCUUUUUUUCAACUAACAGGAUAGAAAUGAACUAAGAGUGCUGGUGGCCAUAUGCUGCAUGGACCCUUGGAAUCAUGUGAAAAUGGGCUUGAGCAAAUAGACAAAAAUAUGUUAUAAACGUGAAAUAUUGGGUGUUUCCUAUGGUUCUGACCUUUCCUGUCGUUUUUUCUUCUUUGGACCCCAAUUUUUCUGUUUUGAAAGAGGAUUCUUUAUUGCAGUGAUGUUUACUACCAACUAGUUAAACUAAAGACGUAGCACUAAAAUGUAAUGAAGGAAGAUGAGCAAUUACAUUAAGCAAAUUAUGAAAAUGGGAAACAGCAGUGCGAUGGCUAUAGUAAUUAUUUUGUUAAAAAUAGCAGAGCAGAGCAUUUGAGCAUUCUGAACUAACAACCACAAGAGAGGGAUAAGAGAUAAAUAAAAUAAUGAAAGGAUGUUAGAGUGAAUAGUUAAGCCUUAAAUAAAAUUUAAGGGUCUUUAAGGGUGAAACCCAGAUCACAUGACAAAUUGUUUCCUGGGUUGUUGACCCAUGCUUGAAUGUUCCUCUGAAAGGUAUGUUGGCUUAGAUGAGCUGGCAUUUUUUUUUGUUUUUGGAGUUCAGUUGGAAGAGGAGAAACAUUCUGUGAUAUAGGAAUGGGGAGGUAAAGCUCUGUACACAUGUUAAUAGUACCAAUUGUUCUAAAUCACAUCCCCCAAACUAAUAUGCAGAUUAGAAUAUGAUUUGCUUUGAGUUAUGCAUUUCUCUAUUGUUUACAGUAUUGUUCACAUUUAGGAAUAUUGUUCACAAAAUGUUUAUAUUUCAUAAAUUUGUGCACAAGAUGCAUUUAUUAGGGGAAAGUGCACUUGGACUGCAAUUUCAAUUUUGAUGCAUGUUUGUCUUCAAUCACAGGCUGUUGUGAACAUGGGAAUGAACAGAUUUGGACAAAAGCUGAAAAAUCAUUUUUGACCACAACUUCUCAAUUUUCUAAAGAUGGCCAAAGUCAUGUUGAUGAGGGAUCUGAGAAAUCUUGAAAUGUUAGAUUUCCAAACUCUGUGACUUAAUACAUGUAGAGUUGACAAUGAUGAAUAAUUUCUUUAUUUGUUUAAUCUGGGACAUCAAAAGUUUUAUUCUGCUUUGAAGGAGGUUUUGAUAUGACCCUGAAGUUGUUUUUUUGAAUGUCAAAGUAGACAUGUCCUAAACAGCUCUGACAGUGAGAACAAGGGAUGUUGGAAGGGCCAGAGUUGGAGACCAGUAGCUCCCAGCAGCCCUCCCAGCCUAGCUUGAUUAUUGCAAAAGGUGAGCCUUCAGCAGUAGUUACCACUUCCAAGCAGAAGGAGAAAGCAGGAGCCAGUACAUCAGGGAAAGCUGAUGAGGGGUUAAAUACUCCACCCCUUUUACAAUUCAGACAUAAAUAUGCUGCAACCUCAGGUCUGCCUGAUUAGCACUAAAACGAGCUCUUCAUAAGUGACACCUGAGAACAUAGAAUAAAAGGUGUUUAAGUUUGUACUCAUGUUAUAGGAGGCAAUGUUUUGCUUCAUGGUGAAACUAUGGAUUCUUUGGAUUUUUGGCCUUGCUGAUUCUGAACGGUACCUUGACUUCUGCAUUGGAAGUUUGCCAGACCGUAUCCAAAUGUUGCCGUAAAACUGAGCAACACUAGCAGAAAAGUAUUGCAGUCAAGUCCUGAAUUUCCACCUCAUUUGAUGCAUGGAAUCUUUGGAAAAGUGCAUAUGUGUUAAAGUUCAUAUCUGAUUCAUUUUAUUGCUAAACAUACAUCGGGAUAUAAAUUGUGAUUGUGUUUGCAAUAUUGAAUUACAGUUGGCCCCAAAGAACCCAGAAAGUGAAGCACAAAAUAACCAGCCAAUUGGUCAUAAAGACAUAAAUAUAUCUUACAGAUUUGUGAAAUCUUUAAUAUUUAUUGAUAUGUUGAGGGUACAUGAAAAAUAAUGCAAAAUAUUAAUUUCCAUUUGACUAUUUCCUUGUACUUUCCCUUUGUUUGCCCCUUCUUGUAUGAUGUAACAUGCCAAAAUGUCUAUAAUUCAUCAUAGUUUCUCAUUUUCACUAAAAACAAACUAGAUUCUGAUUACCAGCAUGCGAAAUUAGAUGAAAAUCCAUUUGUUCAAUUCUAGUAACCACAACUUUCUGGCCUAAAGAAAAUAUGGUUAACAAAAGAGUUCUUGGUUCAAUUGUAGCAUGUCAAGAAGGGAAAAGGUAUGUGUAUGUGCUUGGGCAAAAAUAAUAUCCACAUCUCAAAUAUUAAAUUGAGAUAUGAUUAUGUAGACAUGGCCAUUAUCAUUAUAUGACUGUAUUACCCUAUAUUUUCUAUGAAACUCAAUAAAUAUGAGUUAGGAAUGGC